rnacentral:rRNA from 1 species
UGACCUCCGUUCACACGUGAUUACCCGCUGAACU